UACAGAGGGUGCAAGCGUUGUUCGGAAUUACUGGGCGUAAAGAGUGUGUAGGUGGUGUUCCAAGUUUGUCGUGAAAUCUCCCGGCUUAACUGGGAGGGUGCGGCGAAAACUGGAAUGCUUGAGGAUGGGAGAGGAAAGCGGAAUUCCUGGUGUAGCGGUGAAAUGCGUAGAUAUCAGGAGGAACACCCGUGGUGUAGACAGCUUUCUGGACCAUUUCUGACACUGAGACACGAAAGCGUGGGUAGCAAACAGG
rnacentral:rRNA from 1 species